UAGCGGAGGAAAAGAAACCAACAGGGAUUGCCUCAGUAACGGCGAGUGAAGCGGCAAGAGCUCAAAUUUGAAAGCUGGCUCCUUCGGGGUCCGCAUUGUAAUUUGCAGAGGAUGCUUCGGGAGCAGCCCCCAUCUAAGUGCCCUGGAACGGGCCGUCAUAGAGGGUGAAAAUCCCGUAUGGGAUGGGGUGUCUGCGCCCAUGUGAAGCUCCUUCGACGAGUCGAGUUGUUUGGGAAUGCAGCUCUAAAUGGGUGGUAAAUUUCAUCUAAAGCUAAAUAUUGGCCGGAGACCGAUAGCGCACAAGUAGAGUGAUCGAAAGAUGAAAAGCACUUUGAAAAGAGAGUUAAAAAGCACGUGAAAUUGUUGAAAGGGAAGCGCUUGCGAUCAGACUCGCCUUGGGGGUUCAGCCGGCAUUCGUGCCGGUGUACUUCCCCCAGGGCGGGCCAGCGUCGGUUUGGGUGGCCGGUCAAAGGCCCUUGGAAUGUAACGCCUCUCGGGGCGUCUUAUAGCCAAGGGUGCCAUGCGGCCUACCUGGACCGAGGAACGCGCUUCGGCUCGGACGCUGGCAUAAUGGUCGUAAGCGACCCGUCUUGA
rnacentral:rRNA from 1 species